CAAGGGUUUGCAACGGUACUGCGCGUUACGUAAAUUCGGUAUAACCCUGUCCAAGGAUCCUCAUUUUUGACUUAACGUGGUCGGAGCUGCUACCAGUCAAGGUUGUGAAAUGGUGGGCACACGACGCGGGGACGUCGAGAUAUCCGAUUUUUGCUAGCUGAGCUGCACUUCAGGAUCAUCUGGAGCACCAAGAAGAGGCC